rfam:Nocardioides sp. JS614, complete genome.
CUGGCUCCGGUUCACGGCUCUCGCAGGGAGAGGCGACCCGGCGGCC